rnacentral:lncRNA from 1 species
GCAAAAGAACCGAGCAAGAAACCAACGAAGAAGUCGGAACCUAUUAAGAAGCAAGGAGGUGAUAUGACUCUUGAGGAAUGCGAGCAGGUAUCGCAAGCACAGGUGAGGGAGUUCUUUAAAGCAUGCACUGCAAAAAGAAAAGCAAAAAAGCUGGAGCCACAGCUAGUAGAUCCAACAAAAUUAAAGUUUUUUAUGGGCAUGAAAAAGGAUGUCAAGAAGAAACUACUUUUG